rnacentral:rRNA from 1 species
UACGUAGGGAGCAAGCGUUAUCCGGAUUUAUUGGGUGUAAAGGGUGCGUAGACGGGUAUACAAGUUAGUAGUGAAAUCCCUCGGCUUAACUGAGGAACUGCUACUAAAACUAUAUAUCUUGAGUACUGGAGGGGAAAGCGGAAUUCCUAGUGUAGCGGUGAAAUGCGUAGAUAUUAGGAAGAACACCGGUGGCGAAGGCGGCUUUCUGGACAGAAACUGACGUUGAGGCACGAAAGUGUGGGGAGCAAACAGG